GUUGUCGCUCCGCUGGGCUAAGUGUGAUGGAAACAUUUUCCUUAUCACUUGGCACCGAACAAAAGCCAAAAUACGUGACCGCCGGCACAUCCUUUACGUUAUCGGGGAUCACAGUUUUCCUUUUCACUGUCCCUGUGUAUACUCAGACCCAGGGCAGCGGCUCCCAAGAAAUUCCAGGGAACUCGGCGGAUCCAGAGCCCAGCCGAUCGGCCCCUCUGCCCACGACGUGGGGCAAGGCACGUCGGGCUGCUUGUCCUAGGUCUGCCUUUACCGCCUGAAGGCAUCUCAACGUCUUGUCCCCAAAAUGCUGAAUUAACAAGCCAUUAAGAGCUGUCAAACACCUGUAAUUGCUCACCUGUGUUUUCAGUAACCGACCCCUUGUCUUGCCCAAGGCAGUAAGAACCUGGGCUAUUUAACCCCCCUUUUUUUAACUCCCCCCCAUCCCCCCACCUCCCCCACCUCCUACCACUAUAUGGAGCUUGAUUGUCGGUGCUUUGAAGUCUGGAGCGCUCUAAAAUGCCCUUUUUUAUUUAAACUUCCCUUUUCCGGCCUUGUCUCUACUGCUGUGAGCAGCUCUUUCCUACAGCAAAGGUGUCAAGAGAGACCUGUGACGGGAAGGUGAAAGAGGACAUUCAAGAAGGGUAAAGACAAGUAGAGACAUACACCUGUAGUUUUGACUUUUUGGUGCUUUGGAGUUGCCUGACUUGAAGCAGAUGAGAGAGGGAGCUGAAUGUUUUGUGUUACAAUGAGCUAUAAAGGAAGGGUGUGUGCGCGCUUGUGGCUUCUUCCAGCUUAAAAGCAAAAGAAAGUCAAGAGAGAGAUAGGAAAAACUUUUCAAAGGAAAAGAGGAAGAGUUUUGAACUCUCACCAGAAGCAUUUCUUACUACUGACUAUUUUUAAAAUAUUUUUGUUUCUAAAAAAAUACUACACCAAGUCCUCAUGAAGGCUAGCACUUUUCCGUCGCCCUACAUAAAAUAAUAAUCAUAGCAAAUCAAACAUUAUAAAAUCAUGUACUCUUCGUGAUUUAGGAAAAAUCACCCUCACUUUUCAACUCCUUUGUGGGAACACCCAGAGGGGAAUUGCUAGACGUUUGAGUCUUCCUCUGUGAAGAUUUAGUAUGGAUUUCAUCUGACAUGACACUUCUUAGCUGAGCUCCUUUGUCUCAAACAGAUUGAGUUUAUCUCCAUGUAAUUGUUUUUAAUGAGCUCAAGUGUGGCAAAACCAGAGAAGAGGUUGGCUCAUUGCAUCCACUGCCUGUGGAAGUGACAGUGGAUGUCAAAACACAUGGUUCUGGGAUUCAGGAGGCCAUUUUAAAAUUGUAGUGAUUAAAACUAGUGAAGUCAUGGCACAGCAGUGGGAACUAGCUCUGUACAGAUGUGUGAGACAAGAGGUCAAGUGAAAAAUACCUGGUGGGUAAUCGAGUGGAGUUUUCUUAAGGGACUUGUAUUAACCCUCCUGGAUGUGUACUUUCUUUCUUUAAGUUUUGCAUUGACAUCCUUUUAGUGGGAGGAGGCGAGGUUUCUACCUCUAUUUCAGAGAAACAAACAAACAAACAAAAAAUAUAUACAUAUCUUGUUUGAGUGGGGAAGGCAGUCUGCCUUCAGAUCAAGAGUGUGAUGAAAAUCUGCAUCUCGUGGCAGCCCUCGGGGGAUCUGUGUCUUGGCAAGUCCAGCAUUCAGAGCCAAUGAAAAAUUUACUGCCAAGGAGAAGAAGCUUUCAAUAUCUGUUAACAUCCUCAAGAAGAUGAGUUCAAAAUCAGUCUUACAAAAAACAACAGGAAUCUUUGAAAGAAAACUAAGGUUAAGAGCCUCGGGAAGGCAGCAAGGAGGUGAGAAGCAUUGUUAUUGACUGGUCUAGAUUAAACAGCACAGAGGAAGAUUUCAAUUUGAUAACGUCACAACCCUUCCUGUUUUUCUUUGCUGCUUCUGCUGACAAUUUUGUAAGGUAAUUAAAUUGGCUGAUUGAAGUCACAGUGGUCAUGGGGCGAUAAAGACCGUUUGGAUUUAAUGGAAUUUAGAAACAACGGUGCACUGCACACAACUCUCACAGAACGAGAAUUUUAAUGACUCAUUCAGGGUGCUGACUACAUAGAACGCCCUGGACGAGUUUAAUUGAAAGGGCAAAGCUGAUUAGCUGUAUACAGUCUUUAUUGCACUAGAUAGGGGAAUUAGACUUAUCCUUUUAAAAUACUCAUUAUUGCAUUAUCAAGAUUUAAUGUAGGUUAAGAAAGCUUUCAUCCAUGUGUGCUUCCUGGAAUAUCCCCAGAUCCUUUCACCCAGUGUUUGGAACACCAAUAGUCUCAUAAAAUGAUUUUCACACAAUUGCCUGAUAGCUUGUAUUCUUACUGACUUCUUAUUCUUACUGAUAACUUGCUUCUUACUGACUGCUGCUUGUUCUUUGAAGGGAUGCAAUGUUCAAGUAAUGCCUCCAGUUUAAAUGUGGUUGCUGAAAGAAAUGCUUUCUGCCACCAGAGAUAAAAAGCUAGAGAAAAGGAGAUUUUUCUAAAUUCAAAUAUUAGAGUUUAGUUUUAUUAGUUUAAAUUUAGGGAGUUUUUUCUCAUUUAUUUAUGUAUUUAUUUUAUACCAGAGAAAAUCCCCUCAAUUUAGGGAAAAAAGCAAACCAAACAUUUUGUAGUCAUUGUAAAUAAAGCAGAUCUUUGUACCCUACUUAAUGUAUUUACCUUGUCUGUUUCUGAGUUUUAACCUUCAUCCUCUUUAAUCUCUUUCAGAGGAACAAUUACUAGAAGGUAUGUCAAUAAUGCAAAAGAGAAAAUAGAGGGUGCCUUAUUUCCAUACUUCCCAAUCUGCAAGGCAAAUGAAUUUUUCCUGAAUAAGGUUUUUAUAGUGUUAUGCUGUAAUGUAUGUUGGAAGAUUAGAUUAAACAGCAUGAUAACAUAAUGACAUAAUGUCAUUAUGCUGUCACAUCUGAACUGGAAUAUGGAGAAUCAAAGAUCAUUGUCAUACUAAUACUUAUAAUUUUGUGCGUCUCCCGUGCCACCCAUGCUAUGUUUCCCCCUUUCUUCUCCUCGCUCCUGCCCCAUUUCCCCCCAAAGCCUUUGGUUCCUUUGUUAUAAAACAAUAGUUUUGGACACCUUCAAUUUAAACAGCCAAAGCUCUCAGUAAUGCAAAGAAUAUAGAACAAACAUGUGGUGAUCAUUAUUCCAAUACUGGAGCUCAGCCAGAUUUGGAUAAAGCAGGUGUUAUAGUAGAGCUAUGUAAAACACUUAGCAAACUCAAAGACAUAAUCUAAAUUUAAUUUAAAAGUACUUUUUAAUGAAUUAAAA